rnacentral:lncRNA from 1 species
GUAGAAGGUAACAACAUUUCAUAUCAUACUAAAAUCUUGCCCCAUUAUACAGAAGCAGGCAACAACUACUAUUUAUGGGAGUAAUGCAGAAGUUUUAAAGAAGCAAGCAAUAUCUACUAUUUUAGUUCAAUACAAGAUCCUGUAAAAUUCAAGAGAUAACCAAAUAAGUCUAGAAAUGCCAUCACCAAAUAACAAAGCAGUGGCAAAGUAGUCACAAGCCACAAGCCACAAAGUAAGUUUAGAAAAGGAUACGUAAAGACUUAAAUACGAAUCACUGGAUGAGGCAUGAGACACUUCUUAAUAUGCUUCACUAAGACAAAAGUGCCAUUAUACUUCGGAUAACAAUUAUAAACUCGACCACAAUAAACACACUUUGCUUCGCGGACUUCUUCAUUUUCUUCAACUACCUCAAAAUAUUUCCAAAUAGGCGAUCUGGCUUUAGGACCAUAAGGCAUAGUUGAACCUACAAAAUAAGAAAACAUCACAAGUUAAAUAAUAUAUUUUAAAUUAUAAAUAACAAAAGGAUAUCACAAAACAAGCAAUUCUUUAAACUUACCACUUGUUCAAACUAUGUAUCAACAAUGCUAGUAUCUCUUUCAACAAUGCAAGUUUCUCUUCCGCUCUUUGCCAUAUCUAAAUAUAAUUUGAUAAAGUGUGUCAUAUAAAAUUACAAAGUAAAUUAAUUUUCACUAAAAUACUCAUAAAAUCCAAAAGCAUACCAAGUUCAAUUUGCUCAAGAAACUCCGAAUCUUCUUCAACAUUAAUAGGAGUACACACACAUCUAAAUCAAUCUUGAACACAAACAAGACUUUGCACCAACUGGAGGGUCAAUGAACUCCUAAAUGAAUGAAGAAUGAGGCCACCGGUGCUAAAUGCACAUUUUGAUGCAACAUUAAAAAUUGGAAUGUCCAAUACAUCACGAGCUAGCUGAGAUAGAACAGGAAAUCGAGGCACAUUAACUUUCCACCAAUCUAAGAUUUAAAGUCAUCAGAAUCAUCAGACACUGGCUCUUGUUCUUCACUAAUAUAUCUUUCCAAUUCAGAUUUAACACCUCCACUUCCAGAGUCUUCAUUUUGCCUUUUCAAUUGAAGCUUUGUUCUCACAGAUUUCGACCUCACAUUUCCACUAGAUGAAUCAGAUGAAGUAGAUCUAGAUGGAGAUGAUUGAAGAUAACAUCCUCUUGAAUAUGUUUUUGAUAUUCCCCAAAUAAAGAAUUCAAAUAAGCAUCCACUUCAACAGUUAUUUUCUUCCCUGGUUCCUCCCCGAACAUUUCCUCAAGUGCAAAACCAACAUACUCUAAUUUGUUAUGAGAAUCUAAUACAGAAGCAAUGAAUAUCAUUUUAUGCAUCUUUUCAGGUUCACCCCAAUAUUUUUUACACUUUUCUUUCAUCUUCCCCGCCAUCUUACUCAAAUUAGUAUCAUCAGUAGCUAAACAAGUUUUCAAAUGACUAUCAAGCUCAUAUAUAUCCUCAAAAUGACAAUUAGAAGUGAUAUAACGUGAACCUGAAACUUUUUCGGUGAGCUCGUAAAAUCUUUCAAGAAACUUUAUCACGUUUCUCACAUUCACCCAAUCAUCACAUACAAAUGGACUUACAACAUUCCCAUCCUCAAAAAUAUGCAUACAAAGAUGAGUAGAAAAUCCAUCAUCAAAAAGAUAAAGUUUGGCAAAGCCCUUCUCAAAGUUUUGCACCGUUUCCAACAUCAAGUAGGUGGAAUUCCACCUAGUAGGAACAUCCAAACACAAUAUUUUGCUACAUUCUACCUCUUGAUAUGAACAAUAUUCCCUAAACUUUAAGGCCCUUUACGGAGAUGAUCUCACAUACCUUACAACUCGUCUAAUACGUUUUACAGAAAUAUCAAUUUCUUUCAAACCAUCUUGCACAAUUAGAUUAAGUAUGUGAGCCAUGCAUCUCACGUGAAGAUACUUACCACUCAUCGAAUUAGUUUUCCACAUAUCUAAUUGUUUAGAUAAUUCUUUGACCGUGACAUCAUUCGAAGAAGCAUUAUCAAUAGUAACAAUAAAUACCUUAUUCAAUUUCUAUUCAAGUAAACAAUUACCUAUAACUUUUGCCAUCUCGUCACCCUUAUGACUAGAGAUAGGGCAAAAAUUUAGUAUCCAUUUAUGCAAUACCCAAUAUCUAUCAAUAAAAUGACCCGUCAAACACAUAUAGUUAAUUCGUUGUAACGAAGUCCAUGUGUCUGUGGUAAGAAAAAUUUUUGGUUUUACUUCUCUUAAAUUUUUCAUUAGUUUAAGUCUCUCUUCACUGUAUACUUGAAAACAAUCCCUUGUAAUUGGCCUACGAGAAGGAACAUUCAAUAGAGGUUGGGCUAUACGCAUAAACUUCUUAAACCCUUUCUUUUCAACAAAGCUAAAAGAUAAUUCCUCCAUAAUUACCAUCUCAACUAAAGCCCUCAUAACUAGUUCUUGAUCAAAUUUUCAAAGCACCCCACCAUCCAUUUGCCCAUUUUUUGUAAACACAAUUGUGUUUGAGUAUUAUCAACUUUUCUUGAUAUUUUUGGACACUUCUUUAAAUGUGUAUUCAAUGAUAUUGUUCCAUUCAAUCGUGAAUCGACCUUAUAAUCACGACCACAAUAUUUACACUUUGCUCUAUUAACUCCAUUAUCAUCUUUAAACUUUUCAAAAUGAUCCCAAACAGUUGAUCUAGAUUGUAUGGAUUUUUUUUGGACAUUGACUAGUUUCAACUAAAUUUGUAGGUGAAAAAGUAGGUUCACUUUCAGAUGAACCCACCUCGCUUACUCUACUUUCUACUUCUGCCAUCUAUACAAAAUCAAAUGAAAACAGAAUUAAAAAUACAAACUGGUAUACAAUAUAAAUCAAACAUGUCGCAAUUCGCAUAAAUCAAGUUGAUUGUUUGUUUAAGGAGUCAAUUGUCACUUUUAUUUCAAAAGAACAAAAGCAAAGCCAAUGGACAUUUAAGAAAGAAUAGAAAACGAUACCGUUGCUCUCGGUGUACAAUAGCAAGGAAUGCAAUUGUGACCGAAAAAUGAUGGUUCGUCACCGAAAAACUAUGCAUGACACUAAUAUACAGUCAGGGAAGUUAAUCACUCCAGCAAAUAGCAUACAAAAGGAAUUACCACCACUCACAUUUGGGAGCUUUCUACCACAGAAAUACCAAUCGAUAGAGAAAGUUUAUGAAACUAGUAGUUCUGAAGGUGCUCUGCAACUUCAACCUGCCAAAGCGGAAGGAACAACGGUACAUGCAACUCGGUGAUUACAGUACUCUGAAGCGAGUGGAUCGGUAAAGCCAACUCCUACAGCAGCUAACAUUGUAUGAGGGAAUCACAACUCACAAAUGGGUAAACCCUUGUCUUUUGUUCCUCCAAUUGAUAGAGAUGGUAAACGAAUUGUCAAAUUGAACGAGGGAGAUCUAAAAUCUCAGGAAGAUUAUUGUAAAACCUCUCUAAUUGGGUACAUAAUCGUAGAGAAUCCUUAUGAAAAAUCUAUGAAGAAUUUUGUUACGAAUGUGUGGAAUUUUGUUACAUAAUCUCAUAUAUUAAUUCAUUCUAAGGGAUAUUAUAUCUUCAAAUUUCACACCAUAGCUGAUAGGGACCAAGUUCUCCAGUAAGGGCCAUAUACCUAUAGGAACAAACCAAUGGUGCUAAGGCUAUAGGAAAUUAAUUUCUCAUUCAGCAAAGACAUACUAAGCAUAGUGCCGGUUUGGGUGAGAUUCCCUGGGUUACCAGUAGGAUAUUGGUCGACUGAGGCUCUAAGCAAAAUGGCCAGUGUAGUAGGCAAGCCCCUAUACACUGAUAAAUUCACUGCUCAUUAUGAGAAGAUAUCUUAUGCAAGGGUUCUUGUGGAGGUGGAUGCUGCAUAUCCUUUGGCCCUAUGGUGGAGAUUAUUGAAUAUGAUUGGAGGCCUGUGUUCUAUAAUGACUAUCUGAAAUUUGGUCAUGAUUCUUUUGACUACCGGUAUAACAAAAGCUGUAAUGAAGAGGAGGAUAACCAAGAAAGGGGAAAGCCAAGAAGGAAGAUAAGAAGAGCAAAUAAGGCAGCUAGGACUGUGAAGCAAACAUCGUUGUUGAAAAAUCUAGAAAUGAAUGCUGAAAAAGAUCCAGAGCCAUAGAGGAAGGAAGCCCUGCAAGCAAACCCUGCUCAUGAGCCUGAUUGCACUGAGAUUGUUAGGAAGAAUAUAGAGCAUGUAAAGCAAAAUACUCUUAUGCCUUGUCAGACCAAAGAAUGGGUUAACCUUCAGAAUGACACAUGCUGCAAUCCUGUGAGUGGAAUGCUAACUUGCAAUGAUAAAGGGAAGGUAGCUGCUAAGCUAAGGCAUGAUGGGAGUGGAGGGCAACAGGAGGAUCCAAGUUCAACAUUCUCUCCAAAUCACAACCCUAAAUGAUCAUUGCCACUUGAAAUACUAGGGGCCUAAACAAGGCCCAUAAACAGAAGGAGGUAAAGACCUUUCUGGCUAAAAAUAAGGUAGAUAUAAUGGGGUGUAUUGAAACCAGAGUAAAAGAACAUAAGGGUAAGAAAAUACAAAAACAGAUUGCUCAGGGGUGAAAUGAUUACUGUAACUAUCCUUAUGCUGUAAAUGGUAGAAUUUGGAUUAUGUGGAGAGCUCAUAUAUAACUUCAGAUUAUUCAAACUACAGAUAAAUUCAUCCAUUGUCUAGUGGAGGAUACCAGAACUCAAAUUACCACAUAUCUCAGUAUCAUAUAUGCUCAGAAUGAUGGCCAUCAAAGGGAGACUUUAUGGAGGGAUCUUAAACAGAUAAAUAUGCAGGCUCAUCUGCCAUGGCUUCUUAGUGGAGAUUUUAACAAUGUUCUAUCUUCUGAAGAUAGAAUAGGGUUCCCUAUAAUCAUUACUGAAACAUAAGGAUUCAAAUAUGUGGUUGAUUUUCUACAAAUUACUCCUCUUAGAGCUAAAGGAUGACGUUUCACUUGGACAAACAAACAAGGCACUGGUUCAAGAGUGUAUAGCAAGAUAGAUUGGGCUUUGAGAAACUAUCAGUGGAUACAACAAUAUGGUCAUGUGGAGGAAGAUUUCUUAAAUCCUACAGUCUCUAAUCACUUCCCUAUCCUAAUCAAAUGUGGUGGGCAGAAACUAUUACAUCCUAAACCAUUUAGACUAUACACAAAUGUCAUGGAACUUCCACAAUUCCAGAAUAUUAUUCAGCAUAUUCGGAAUCAGAAUUAUGAUGGCACAUCUAUGCAACAGGUCUGGUGCAAGGUGAAGUCUAUGAAGGUGUAAUUGCAAGAUUAUAAUGCUUAUAUGGCUUCAUACAAACAAAAACUUGAGCAGACAAGAGAGAGAUUGAUUAUUGUUCAGGACCAGAUUCAGCAGGAUCCUUUAGCCUAUAUCCUGUUUGACUUAGAGAAAGACACACUAGCUGACAUUGAAAAAUGGAGCAAUGUUGAGGAACAAGUGCUGAGGCAGAAGUCCAGGGCAUGCUGGAUUGAGUGUGGUGAUGCAAAUACAAAAUACUUCCAUGCCCAAUGGAAGAUUAGAUCUAGCCAGAAUAGUAUAACCUCUAUAUACACUGACACAGGAAUGAAGGUAACUGAUCCAAAAUUGGUUGAGCAGGAAUUCAUCAGAGUAUUUAAGUCCUUGAUGGUAGACUGUGCUACUGAAAUGCCUUGUGCAAAUACAACUAUAAUCAAGGAUGGACCAUGCUUAACUAUUUUACAACAGAGAGGAUUAAUUCAGAAAGUAACUAAUGAGGAAAUCACUACUGCAGCGUGGGAGAUGCCUAGAUACAAAGCACCAGGUAUUGAUGGAUUUCCUGUGGAAUUCUUUACUAUAAACUAGAACAUAGUGAAGAAGGACAUCUUUGCAGCUGUGAAGAGCUUUUUUACUACCUGUAGCCUGCCUGGAAUGAUCAAUACUAUAGCCAUCACCUUAGUACCUAAAUUCUCAGCACCUUCAACAGUCAAGGACUAUAGGCCUAUUGCAUAUUGUACCAUAUUGUAUAAGAUUAUCUCUGAAGUCAUUACUAGAAGAAUCAAAACUGUUCUUGAUGGUUUGGUUGGACAUUCCCAAUCAACAUUCAUUGAAGGGAGGUGUAUUAUUGAUAACAUACUACUCAAUCAUGAGUUAUUUAAAGGAUACUCCAGAAAAGGUAUCUCUCCUAGAUGUGUGCUGAAGGUGGAUUUGAGGAAAGCCUAUGAUACUUCGGAAUGCGGAUUUCUCAGAAGAAUGCUUGUUGAUAUUGGUUUUCCCUUCAAGUUUGUGCAAUGGAUAAUGGCAGGUGUUGCUACAAUGUCAUAUUCCUUGGUGCUAAAUGGAGGAAUGAUCAAACCUUUCAAAGGCAGAAGGGGGAUUAGACAAAGAGAUCCAAUGUCUUCAUACUUAUUUGUCAUUGCAAUGGAGUAUUUAGGAAGAGAACUGGGUCAAUUACAUAAGAAUGGAGAUUUUAACUUUCAUCCUAGGUGCAUGAAGUUAAAUAAUACACAUAUCUAUUUUGCUGAUGAUCUCCUGAUGUAUUGCAGAGCUGAUAUUGAGUCUAUUAGAAUCCUUAAUGCUUCAUUUCCCAAAUUCUUAGUUGUUUUUGGCUUGCAGGCAAAUGUGGAUAAAAGUGCUAUAUAUAUAUAUAUACGGCUGGAAUUUCAUUAACUGUGAAAUAGAAAAUUCUUUCAACAUUGGGCUUUACUGAAGGAAAGCUUCCUUUCAAAUAUUUGGGGAUUCCUUUAGAUUCUAAAAAGCUAUCAGUUCAGCAAUAUCUACCUCUUAUUGCGAAGAUAACUGCAAGGGUCACCUGCUGGCUAGCUAAGCUUUUAUCUUAUGCUGACAGAUGUGACUGAUAAAGGCUGUUAUUUUUGGCAUUCAAACCUAAUGGGUAUAGUUCUUUGUUCUUCCAAAGAAGGUUAUGAAGCUAAUUGAGGCAAUAUGCAGAACUUUCCUAUGGACUAGUACUGCUACUAUCUCUAAGAGAGCACUAGUGGCAUGGGAUAAAGUAUGCAGGCCUAUAGUUGCUAGAGGGCUCAAUAUACUGGACAUCAAACUGUGGAACAAAGAAGCAAUCAUAAAACAUUUGUGGGAUAUAACAAGAAAGAAGGAUUGUUUAUAGAUACUAUGGGUGCAUAGCUUCUAUAUAAAGAACAGAGACAUGGAAAAAUGGCUACACCCAAGACUGCAUCUUGGGUAGUGAGGAAGAUACUAGAUGGCAGAGGAUUGAUUAUGGAGCACCAGAAACUUCAAGGAGAAAUCCAUAGCAGAUUAAAGUCAAUGUGCACAGAUACAAAGUUCUAGAUAAAGGAGAUGUACUUGAAGCUGAUACCAACAUAUCCCAGAGCUGAAUGGAAAAGUUUGAUGAUGCAUACCAACAUACACCCCAGAUACAAAUUCACUCUAUGGCUAGCAGCACAACAGAGACUAGCUAUAGUAGAAAGACUAUUGAAGAUUGGCAUCCAAAUUCCUGCAGCUUGUGCAUUCUAUGGACAUAACCUGGAGUCCUUUAACCACUUGUUCUUUGAUUGCACCAUCACAAAGCAGUUGUGGUCUAGACUAUGUUCAUGGUUGGGAUAUAAUAGGAGAAUUAGUGAUUGGAAAAUAGAAUUGGAAUGGGCAUGCAAGAAAGCCAAGAGUAGAACAGGAACAAAUGCAAUUACUAGAUGUGUGUUUGCCAUGACUGUUGUAUUGAUUUGGAGAUAUAGAAAUAAGAUCAAAUUUGAACAAGCUAAAUUUGAUGACUCCCAAAUCUUUUAGGAAGAUAGUAUUGCACCUACACGUCAGAGGAAAGGACAUAGUCAAGUGGAAAGAAGCAUUGCACCAGCUGAAUUGGGUUCCAUAGAUAAUUAGAAAGUACAGUAGGGAAUCCUCACUGUAGUUUGUUAUGAAACAAGUGUCUGUAUGAAAAUUUUAUAGUGUAGGAUAGAUAGACACAUGAAUUGAUAGAAGCAGAAUGUGAUGUAUAUCUAGAGUAGCUUGUCAAAGCUGCUCCUUGGACUCCAAUGUACAUAUUUUUUGAAUAUCAAUAGAAUAUAAUGUUUAAUAAAAAAAAGAAGUAAAAACAGAGGCAAAAAACAAAAGAUGCAAUUGUCACUUCUUUUUGGCAAAUGUUAACUCGAAAGAGUCCUAAAAGUCAGAGGCAAACACGCAUAAAUACUAUAAACAAGACCAGAAAAAUUGAAAGUUGAAAGAAACCAGUAACACUAAUAAAGUAAUAAUAACAGAAAGAUAAAUUUUAUGCAUACUAUAAUUUUAAUAGCAUGCACAUUGCAAUUUUCUUUUUAUGCACUGCAAAUUUAUGCACAUUAGAACUUAGAAGAAGGAGGGAACUUGGGAAAAGGAACUCAGAAGAAGGGGGAAACCUGAGGAAGAAGGAGGAGCGACAAGCGACGAGCGGCAGGAGAGGAAGAAUGUGUCACACCAGGCGAUGAGCGGUAGUCGGCACAGAGGAGGAAGGAAGUUGGGACUCAAGAAGUCAAGAACCCUAAUUAGAACUAAGACAAUUUUUAAUUUCUA